UAGGUGAUGACUUGGCAGAAAAUACACCUGGGUAGCGUUUGGUUCGGAAACAAGGGGGAGAAUAAGCCUUUGUUCCCCCCUUUGUUCCCAAACGCAGCGUUUGGUAUCCGAGAACAGUAGUUUUCGGGUUUCUGGAACUAGCUGGUAUAAGGCUGGAACUGGCUGGAAUUGCUGUUCCACCUUUUUCCUGGAACAAGCUUAUUUCCGAAUGAGAACAAGGUUAAUUAAAUCUAAAUUUAAAUUUUAAUGAUAGUAAAUUAUUAAAUAAUCUAAUUAAUAUAUUUGAAUUAUUAUCUAUUGCUUAAAUAAUAAAAUAAAUAAAUAAAUAAUUAAUUAUAAUUAAUUAUUUAUAAUUAGAUAAUAAUAAUUAUUAAUUUAAUAAUUAUUAUUUAUUAAUAAUUAUUAAUUAAAUANNN
rnacentral:lncRNA from 1 species